UUGGGUGGCGGACGGGUGAGUAACGCGUAAAGAACUUGCCUCACAGACUGGGACAACAUCUGGAAACGGAUGCUAAUACCGGAUAUUAUGAUUUUAGUGCAUGCUAGAAUUAUGAAAGCUAUAUGCACUGUGAGAGAGCUUUGCGUCCCAUUAGCUAGUUGGAGAGGUAACGGCUCACCAAGGCGAUGAUGGGUAGCCGGCCUGAGAGGGUGAACGGCCACAAGGGGACUGAGACACGGCCCUUACUCCUACGGGAGGCAGCAGUGGGGAAUAUUGGACAAUGGACCGAGAGUCUGAUCCAGCAAUUCUGUGUGCACGAUGAAGUUUUUCGGAAUGUAAAGUGCUUUCAGUUGGGAAGAAAAGAAUGACGGUACCAACAGAAGAAGUGACGGCUAAAUACGUGCCAGCAGCCGCGGUAAUACGUAUGUCACAAGCGUUAUCCGGAUUUAUUGGGCGUAAAGCGCGUCUAGGCGGCUAUGUAAGUCUGAUGUGAAAAUGCGGGGCUCAACUCCGUAUUGCGUUGGAAACUGUGUAGCUAG
rnacentral:rRNA from 1 species